UACCAGGCCUCUGGAGAACAUCAGGACAUGUUGAGGAGAUAAUUUAGCCAUUUAAAUCAGCUGUGUUGGUUCAAGGACACAUGUAAAACCUGCAGGGACACCGGCCCUCGGUGCCCACCCCUGAUCUAAGCCAACCUCACCAUGCCAUCCAUUCAGCAUCAUGUACAACGGAGCUGGCGGAUUAGGUCCUCUGCCCUGGACUACGAGCCUGGGAAAAAGUAAAACUCAAGCUACCUUCAUUCCUUCACAUCCACCCGAUGUUUCAUGUUUCCAAUACAACAAACCCGCUCCUUUGAGCCCAUUGCCCUUCCUGCCUCUCUGCUCAUCUUAAAACCCUGCAAAAGGUCACAAUCAGCCUCUUGGAUCAUUCUCAGCACAGUUCUCUCCUUCACCGUCCUGCUAAACAAGCUCUCUGAUGGGUGAUCCAGUGGUGAUGUAAGAGUGUAGAGUAUGGUGAGAAGACCAUGGAGGAGGCUCUGAAGAAAGUUGAGCAAAUGGAGGCUAAUCUUGGAGGAACAGAAAUCCUGGAGCCCCUCAAACAUAUUUACAGCCAGCCCUGCAUUCCCACUCAGCCCAGACAG
ensembl:lncRNA